rnacentral:lncRNA from 10 species
AGCCUUUUUCAAAAUGUGGCGGUGGCAGGGAAGGUUGUCUGCUCCAGAGGCUUCCCUAGAGUGAAGAGCUCUACUAUGUAUGCUUUAUGCGGCAGAAGGAGUGCUUUGGAGGAGUUUUUAAAUUUGUUUUUUUUUUAAAUCUUAUCGGUUUUAAUUGUAGCAAUGAUUCAAGAAACGUUAGUAGGUGCCCAUAACUUCGGUGGUGGAGAUCCAAAAGUGAACAAGACAGUGUUCUGGCUGCUAAAUUCUUCUUAACUGGUUAUGCCUGGAGACCUUCACUUGGUUCUGUGCCAGCACUGCCCAUGAACUUCAUAGACUGUGAUCUUUGCUAAGGCCUAAAUGAAUGAAGGUGCAGGACCGGAAGCAGAAGACAGAAAGUGGAGACCAGAUGUUUGAAGCUGGGUAAAGGCAGGGAUGGAGCAGGAACCGAGGAACAAACCUUGGAACUAGGUAAGUUUCCUGAGGCCUUCCCAGAAGUAGAAGCCUGCACAGUCCACAGAACUGUGAGUCAAUUAAACCUUUUUUCUUUAUAAAUUACCCAGUCUUAGGUAGUUCUUUAUAACAGUA